AUUCAGCGUUUGGGUGAAGACGGAGGCGGGUUCUGGACAGACGUACGCUGUCAGGGAGUGUUUACUUUGCCUCCACUUCUGUUCCUCCCCGCCCUGGUGCUGCUCCGGGUCACAUACUCGUCCUGAGCCGGCUUCAGCCUCUCCGCGCAGAAGUGUCCCGGAGCCAUGGCCGAGUACUCUUAUGCGAAGUCUACCAAGCUUGUGCUCAAGGGAACCAAGACGAAGAGGUGGGUCCUGCACCUCCGGCGGGAGCCUCCUCAGUUCUUUUCGGACGCACUCCACCCCCCUCGAAUCCGGUGGAAGCCGUGGCGCGGAGAGCCGGCUUUGUGGCCUCCCAGGCUUCGCCCUGGCCCCUGUCCGGGCUGGACGGAGGCCGGACCGCAGUUCCUGGCGCCUGUGCAGAGAGGGGCAGCCUCCCGCACUGACGACCCUGGAAACAGGAUAGACGGGCGGGUGACCCGUGGCCCCGUACCCACGAGUUUCAGUCCUCUGAGGCAUCUCUGCAGGCCUCUGCCUGUAAGAAGAAAAAGAGCAAAGAGAAGAAGAGAAAAAGAGAAGAAGAUGAAGAAACCCAGUUUGAUAUGUUGGAAUCUGGUGAACAGUAACAAACUUUGAUGAAAUUUCAGGAACCAUAGCCAUUGAAAUGGAUGAGGGAACCUAUAUACAUCCACUCGACAAUGGUCUUUUUACCCUGGGAGCUCCACACAAAGAAGGGGAAAAUGGCUUUGUUGGCCUCAAAUGGCUGCUUUAUUAGAUGCAAUGAAGCAGGGGACAUAGAAGCAAAAAGUAAAACAGCAGGAGAAGAAGAAAUGAUCAAGAUUAGAUCCUGUGCUGAAAGAGAAACCAAGAAAAAAGAUGACAUUCCAGAAGAAGACAAAGGAAAUGUAAAACAAUGUGAAAUCAAUUAUGUAAAGAAAUUUCAGAGCUUCCAAGAGCACAAACUUAAAAUAAGUAAAGAAGACAGUAAAAUUCUUAAAAAGGCUCAGAAAGAUGGAUUUUUGCAAGAGACGCUUCUGGACAGAGUCGCAGUCAUAGCCUGCCUUCAUCUCUGAAGGGACCAGGUAACACACGGAGUGCCUUGGCAGCCUCGUCAUUGCAUGCAAUCUUCACAGACAAUAUCUCACUGCAGCCACCUUUCUACAGGAGUACAGGUGUGACAUUAUACUGAUGACAUCAUUCUCAGAGAAAAUUCAUUUUACACACUGAAGAUACACAGACACAAAGAGCCUUAUACAAAGGGAAUGGACCUUUCCCCAACACAGUAGUGCAAGGCCCUGCCACUUUGCUUCAAUUCCUGAAAAUUCCUUGGUAAACUUGGGGCUGCUCUAUUCCUGACAGUUUCAAGAAAUAGUUAUUCAUCCUCUCAGCAUCCACAACGUUAAUACAAGCCCAACAUUCUUUAAUUUGUGUUUUGUUUUUUGGAGACAUAGUCUUGCUCUGUCACACAGGCUGGUAUGAAGUGGCAUGAUCUCAGCUCACUGCAGCCUUGACCUCCCAACCUCAAGCAAUUCUCCCAUUUCAGCUUUCCAAGUAGCUAGGACUACAGGUGUGUGCCAUGACACUCAGCUAAUUUUGUUUAUUUUUUUGUAGAGAAAAGCUCUCGCUAUGUUACCCGGGCUGGUCUCGAACUCCUGGGCUCAAGAGAUCCUCUGGCCUCGGCCUCCCAAAGUUCUGGGAUUACAGGUGUGAGUCCAUGUGCCCAGCCCUUUAAUUCUUUACUUGGGGUUCAGGUGACUACACAUUUCUUACUUACAAAUUUUACUUAAUCUCGCUGAUGCUGUCACUUGAAAGCUGACCCACCUUGAAUGAAGCCUCCUCCAACAAGUCUGGAAUCCAUCCGAAUUUAAAUUAACAGGCGCUCCUAUGAAUUCCAUCAGAGAACACACUGUAGAUGCUUUAGCAACCUCUUCCCAUGCCUCCGAAGUAUCUGGUUUGCAUGUGGUGGCCAUUAGUCAUCCAUGGGCUUCUGAUGUAAAAAACAAACCUGCCUCUUUUGACCCUGUGCUGUACAGCAUCAGGGCAGUGAUUGCUGGCCACAUACUGGACCCUUGAAACAGAGGGCUCUGCAUCCAUGUCCAUGAGCCUUCAUGCCCAUCUGGCCAUCAGGCCUUGGGAAGCAGCACCCCACAGCUUUGGCACAGCUGCAGUGACCUCCUUGCCUCCGAAUGGAGUCAAAUCUUUACACGAUGCAAUUCUCAUCUGCAGGAAGCACUGGCCUCCUUCAUCCUUAGGCUACAGUGCUGACACUGGCCUCCUUCAUCCUCAGACUGUGGUGCCAGAUGUCACCCCUCUGCGAGGCCCUUGGGAUCGACUGAGUGACCAGCAGUGAAGUUUGUCAGCCUUCUGAAUGGAUGCCAUGAUCAGAUGUGAUGGAGCUCAGUGGGAUUCUGCUGCUUUCCCUCCCUUAGCUAGGAUGUCCCUGAUAAAGGAUGACACACAAGCCUCAGCACAACUGGCCAAACUUGAGGUGGUCAUCAUAGCACUGAUGCUGGGCCAACAAUUAACCCCACUUGUACCUUUUUACAAACUUUUUGACAAUUGCCAAGAAUUGUCCAGCUUCCCUCCCCAUUGAAUUAAAUACACUUCUUGUCUCAUGGAUACUCAGAAUACCAAUCAAGGUAACAGAUGCCUUUAUUUUAACUAAGGACACGGUACAGAUCUCACAGGGACACUCCUUAUCCCUUGCAGAGUUCCAGACACUACUGAUGGUCACCAAAGCAACAUUUCAUCAGAAAACACAGUGCUGGGCUUGUGAAGAAGGUGUCCAGCAGAGCUUCCACUGCUCCUGUAGGCUGCAGGAAGCUGCUUCAGUUGAGAGAUACACUGAGCUCCUCAAAGAAUUCCUAUUUAAGGUACAAAGCAGCGAGUGGAUGCCCUGCUGGAUUCCACUAUUGCCACAGGCUUUGAUAACUCUAAGUUCAUGCUCCUUAGGAAAGUGCACUUUUUACACCAAUGCUAGACAGUUCCCUCAGUUGCCUUUACUGGACAUCAAGGAGUUCACAUUUUUGACAAUCUUUCAGUCCUGAACUGUCCAAGGGGUGGAGGUAGCUCCAUACAGGAAGCUGCCUGCUGCGUGUGGAUCAGUAAUAUCAGACUUGCCCAACAGCUCACUGGAGACAUGAAAACCCAUGCAUGGGGGAUGCAUGACGUCACCCAAAUAUUUACCACACGCUUGUGCUGCCAGAGACCCCAGAUCACUUUUCCUGCCUCCUGCUAAACAAAUGGGAGCAGUAGCUUCUCAUCAGCCUCCACAUUUCAUUACUCAUAAUUGUGGCCUUCCUAAUGUCUCAUGCCCCUAAGCAUUUAUUACAAUGUCUCAACAGCCUUCUCUCAGCCUCUCAAAAUAUUAGUCAUCAUUAAAAUAAAUGUCUGAUGUUAAAGCAUCAGGGUCAAUUGUACUGUGACACCUAAAAUUUCAUGCUGCAUCCCACCAGGUCCUCAGCCUAAUGGCUUUCAUGCCCCCAACAGACUGCUAAACUCUUUGAAUUAGUCAAGCACAUCCCUCAAGGGACAAGGGGUUACCCCACCCUCUGAUUUCUACCAAGCCUGCCUCCCGCACCCUGUGCUCCAGAGUGAACCCCCGGGUAGACCUGCACAGAUGCAGUGUCAUCCCCUGUUGGGCUGAGUAUGCGCGAUGAAUAAGUUACGGUGAAUUUCGUCUA